AUGUUAGACCUGGCCCCGCGACGGAGGUGGAUCAAAGGGCGACUAGCGGCAGCGCCCCGGCCGGCCGGAGGGGAAUCUAGGAGGGACAGUCAGACGCACCGACCUGGCCGCCCGACGGAGGUGGCUUCCUCCGUUCCGUCCAGAUCCACGGGCGGGACGCUGGACGUGUGGAGCGGAGCGCCGGAGGAGCCGCGCCUACGGCUCCGGGCCGCAUACAAGCGAUUGGUUCUGCUUCUAACCAAGGUUUCAACCGGCCUCCGAAUCUCGUCGCCGCCGCCACCGCCGCCGGACAAGUUCAACAUCGACGACCCAGACGAGGACAGAAUCAACGCGCUCACCGACGACAUCCUCCUCGGAAUCCUCGAGCGCCUCGACCUGCGCGACGCGGUCCGCGCCAGCGCAGUCUCCACGCGGUGGCGGCACCUCCCCCACCGGCUCUCGCGCCUGCACCUCGACGUCCGCCACUUCGGCGGAGCGACUGAUCCGGUCGCGACCAUGGAGGCGUUCACGGCAGCGAUGUGCAGGCUACUAUCUCCUCCGGCUCCCGCCGAGUGCAAGCGCGCCAUCAAGACCCUCCUGCUCGACUUCUUCCCUGAGUCGGACCCUCAUCACCUGAGCUUCAUAGGCCGCGCUGUCGAGGACGUCGUCGCCCGCGGCGAGACUGAAUGUCUUGAAUUUUACAUACGCUCGCCACGCAAGGAACUCCCUGGCGGGGUGCCUACCGAGUCCGCGCGGCAGUUCAUGUCCUUCUCCCGUGCCUGCCCGGUUGCCUUCCGGUGGCUCACCGUGCUAACUCUCACGCAACUCAUGUUGGGAGACACCGACGUGGCCGAGAUCAUUAUGUCUUGCGACAAGCUCAAGCACCUUACCCUUAGAUACUGCAUAGUAGACGACGAGCACUCCACGGUCAAGAUCGACACGCCGUGUUCUGGGCUCCAGGUGCUCGACUUGUUCCGCGUUGUUUGCACGCGGGUCGAGCUUGUCGCUGUCCCCAAGCUCAGGCAAGUGUCGUGCGAAUCAUGGCACUGGGGGAACCCUCCUGUGAGCUUCGGCUACGUUCCAGACCUUCGCGAUGUGACCUUCAGUUGUCAUUCCAUGACGUGGCAGGCGCCAUUCUUGCUGAGCGAGUGCCUGUCAAGGAGUGCCACAAACCUGUCUAAACUCACUAUUAAUUUUUGCUGCCAAAUGUUGUCCCGAGAUCGGUAUGCAUGUGUCGGAACGGUCGAGGACAGCGCCGAGAAGACCAAUGUUGUGUGGGACCCAUCCAAGAAUUUGAAGCACCUGAACUUGAAGUCGCUGUUGAUGUCCGGGUUCGAGGAGAAAGACAAAGUGACAAACUACAUAAGGCUAGUCAUGGAGCGAGCUGCGGGAUUGAAGAGAAUCGAGAUAUCCACAUACUUCUCUGCCCACAAACAAGAAAAUAUUUGUGAGAUGUUAGACCUGGCCGCGCGACGGAGGUGGAUCAAUGGGCGACUAGCGGCAGCGCCCCGGCCGGCCGGAGGGGAAUCUAGGAGGGACAGUCAGACGCACCGACCUGGCCGCGCGACGGAGGUGGCUUCCUCCGUUCCGUCCAGAUCCACGGGCGGGACGCUGGACGUGUGGAGCGGAGCGCCGGAGGAGCCGCGCCUACGGCUCCGGGCCGCAUACAAGCGAUUGGUUCUGCUUCUAACCAAGGUUUCAACCGGCCUCCGAAUCUCGUCGCCGCCGCCACCGCCGCCGGACAAGCUCAACAUCGACGACCCAGAUGAGGACAGAAUCAGCGCGCUCACCGACGACAUCCUCCUCGGAAUCCUCGAACGCCUCGACCUGCGCGACGCGGUCCGCGCCGGCGCAGUCUCCACGCGGUGGCGGCACCUCCCCCACCGGCUCUCGCGCCUGCACCUCGACGUCCGCCACUUCGGCGGGGCGACUGAUCCGGUCGCGACCAUGGAGGCGUUCACGGCCGCGAUGUGCAUGCUACUGUCUCCUCCGGCCGAGUGCAAGCGCGCCAUCAAGACCCUCCUCCUCGACUUCUUCCCUGAGUCGAACCCUCACCUGAGAUCCAUAGGCCGCGCCAUUGAGGACGUUGUCACCCGCGGUGAGACUGAAUGUCUUGAAUUUUACAUACGCUCGACAUGCGCGGAAGAAGCUGGCGGGGUGCGUGCGCAGUCCGCGAAGGAGUUCAUGUCCUUCUCCCGUGACUGCCCAGUUGCGUUCCGGUGGCUCACCGUGCUUACUCUCACGCAACUCAUGUUCGGAGACACCGAUGUGGCCGAAAUCAUUAGGGCUUGCGAUAACCUCAAGCACCUGACCCUUAGAUUCUGCACACUGGUUGAGGAGCACUCCACGUCCACGGUCAAGAUCGACACGCCGUGCUCUGGGCUUCAGGCCAGGGGGAACCCCCCGGUGAGCUUCGGCUACGUUCCAGAGCUUUGCGAUGUGACCUUCAGCUCUCAUGCCAUGACGUGGCAGGCACCAUUCUUGCUGAGCGAGUGCAUGUCAAGGAGUGCCACCAACCUGUCUAAACUCUCUUUUAAUUUUUCUUGCCAAAUGAUUUGGAUUAAGCCGGAACAUCCAAAGCACCUCACUGCUAUGUUCAGAAACCUGACCGAUGUGUAUCUUUUUGGUAUCUUCCCUGAGUGUGAUCUGAGCUGGACCCUGUUUAUCCUUGAAGCUGCACCUGCGCUGCAGAUUUUCAAAGUAUGUGCCGAGAAGACCAAUGUGGUGUGGGACCCAUCCAAGAAUUUGAAGCAUCUGAACUUGAAGUCGCUGAUGAUGUUCGGGUUCGAGGAGGAAGACAAGGUGACAAACUACAUAAGGCUAGUCAUGGAGCGAGCUGUGGGAUUGAAGAGAAUCGAGAUGUAUGGUGUACACCCAUACAUUGAAGAUGCAUUCGAUUCUAAUCAGAUUUAA
rnacentral:rRNA from 1 species